rnacentral:misc_RNA from 1 species
AAGUCGUAACAAGGUUUCCGUAGGUGAACCUGCGGAAGGAUCAUUAACACGUAUCCAACGUUAAACAACCCUGUGAACUUUCAACCGCUCUUGUAGCCCACGCGGAACAGCAAUCCCGGUAAAUCAAUUGGAGGAAAGGUUUUGAUUCGGGACCUCUGUCCAUCAGGCUACAAUCGAGCUAGGAGCAGUGGCAUGGUUUCCCUAAGCAGUGCAGAAGGAUCCACUGAGUAAGGAUAACGCCUCACGGUUGCCAGAGGUCGAUCACCAGGGCUAUAUGCCCCCUCAUUCACACCUUGCCCUAUCUGGCCCCACGGAAACGUUGGGGCACAAACCGAACAACUGUUAACAAUGGAUAUCUUGGUUCUC